CUUUGUUUGAGGUAGGUGAGGCUACUGAUAGGAUAUGGGUUACCGCCGCAAAAAAAUGGAGACAUUAUUCGCUGGUUAGCAGUUGUAAUCGCUAAGGUUUCGACUAGUGUAAUUUCACCGCCUAUCAAAGCUAAAGCUUGAACUAGGUUUUUUUAUU
rfam:Globicatella sp. HMSC072A10 Globicatella_spHMPREF2811-1.0_Cont401.1, whole genome shotgun sequence.